rnacentral:rRNA from 1 species
UACGUAGGUGACGAGCGUUAUCCGGAAUUACUGGGCGUAAAGCGCACGCAAGCGGUCUGACAAGUCCGACGUGAAAUCCCAAGCUUAACCUUGGAACUGCGCCGGAUACUGGAUGGCUUGAAUUCGGGAGAGGGAUGCAGAAUUCCAGGUGUAGCGGUGAAAUGCGUAGAUAUCUGGAGGAAUACCGGUGGCGAAGGCGGCAUCCUGGACCGACAUUGACGCUGAACGGCGAAAGCUAGGGGAGCAAACGGG